rnacentral:rRNA from 1 species
UCCUACGGGGCGCAGCAGUGGGGAAUAUUGCACAAUGGGGGAAACCCUGAUGCAGCAACGCCGCGUGAGUGAAGAAGUCAUUCGUGAUGUAAAGCUCUAUCAGCAGGGAAGAAAAUGACGGUACCUGAGUAAGAAGCCCCGGCUAACUACGUGCCAGCAGCCGCGGUAAUACGUAGGAUGCGAGCGUUAUCCGGAAUUACUGGGUGUAAAGGGAGCGCAGGCGGGACUGCAAGUUGGAUGUGAAAUACCGCAGCUUAACUGCGGAGCUGCAUCCAAAACUGUAGUUCUUGAGUGGAGUAGAGGCA